rnacentral:rRNA from 1 species
UACGGAGGGAGCUAGCGUUGUUUGGAAUUACUGGGCGUAAAGCGCACGUAGGCGGCUUUGUAAGUUAGAGGUGAAAGCCCGGAGCUCAACUCCGGAACUGCCUUUAAGACUGCAUCGCUUGAAUCCAGGAGAGGUGAGUGGAAUUCCGGAGUGUAGAGGUGAAAUUCGUAGAUAUUCGGAAGAACACCAGUGGCGAAGGCGGCUCACUGGACUGGUAUU